rnacentral:rRNA from 1 species
GAUGAACGCUGGCGGCGUGCCUAAUACAUGCCAGUCGAGCGAACAGACGAGGAGCUUGCUCCUCUGACGUUAGCGGCGGACGGGUGAGUAACACGUGGAUAACCUACCUAUAAGACUGGGAUAACUUCGGGAAACCGGAGCGAAUACCGGAUAAUAUAUUGAACCGCAUGGUUCAAUAGUGAAAGACGGUUUUGCUGUCACUGAUAGAUGGAUCCGCGCCGCAUUAGCUAGUUGGUAAGGUAACGGCUUACCAAGGCGACGAUGCGUAGCCGACCUGAGAGGGGGAUCGGCCGCACUGGAACUGAGACACGGUCCAGACGACUACUGGAGGAAGCAGUAGGGAAUCUUCCGGAAUGGGCGAAAGCCUGACGGAGCAACGCCGCGUGAGUGAUGAAGGUCUUCGGAUCGUAAAACUCUGUUAUUAGGGAAGAACAAAUGUGUAAGUAACUAUGCACGUCUUGACGGUACCUAAUCAGAAAGCCACGGCUAACUACGUG